UUUUCUUUCGCGUGCGUUUUACCAAGCCCGAUGUGAAUCAAACCUCCAAGAACGUCCACACAAGCGCCUAGCUUCAACGUGUCGAUUGGGCAAGUCUCUGGCUUAGGUGGAGUUGGUGUUGGCGGUGUUACGACCGGUGGGCUUGGUGUUGGUGGCGUAACAACAGGUGGCGGUGGGCACGGUGAUGGCGGUGGCGGUGGGCACGGUGAUGGCGGCGUUACGACGGGUGGAGGCGUAUGAGUGGGUGGUUUAGGGGUGGACGGAGGUGGUUUAACAGUGGGCGGUUUCGUGGGUGGUUUCGGGGUAGACGGAGGAGGUUUAACGGUGGGCGGUUUCGUGGGUGGUUUCGGGGUGGACGGAGGUGGUUUAACGGUGGGCGGUUUCGUGGGUGGUUUCGGGGUGGGAUGAGGUUUGGUAGGGGGUUUCGGAUGUGGGUGUGGUUUGACAGUGGGCGGUUUGGUAGGGGGUUUAGGGUGUGGGUGUGGUUUGACGGUGGGUGGUUUGGGAGGUUUUACUGCCGGUGGUUUAGGCGGUUUGCUAGGAUGUUUAGGCGGUUUGUGGGGGUGAGGUGAUGGUUUAGGAGGGCUACAGUCGCAAGCGAAGGAGACGGCAAGAAAGCCAAGGAAGAGGAAGAUAAGAAAAGAGAGGUUUUGUGUACGAGACCCCAUUUUUCUAGA
rnacentral:lncRNA from 1 species